GUCUUUUGUCAUGUGUUAUUAGGCAUGUUCAACUUCAUGAAGCGCUGCGAGAACCCACAUCAUAUGUUGAUGACGUAAACGUAUCGCGAGACUGAGUCAAGAAAUUACACGUAGAGGUCUAAUUUCGAACCGCUCUCGCGGUACAUUGACGUCAUCAUCAUGUCAGCGCCGCAUGAGGUCGAACACACCUAUUAUUUGCGGGCACGCGCCUCCGUCCUCUUGAGUUCAAAAACUGAAUUUAACCGAUGUUUACCUCAGACGACAGUUUUCGUUUCUGUGAUAAAUUCUGAGCUAAUUUUCUUGUUGUGUUUGAUCUUUUCCAUUGGCUGAAGAAUGCUGUGACAAAAAAGCAACCAGGACACCACAUCUGCAGUGACAGAGAGCAGGAUGGGGGAGGAAUCAGAGGGACCAGAAGAUAAUAUCAACUGGUGCCCCUGAGGAGAUUCACAUUGUUCUGAUUCUUUUGUUUAGUAAUAAGCGGUUUUAUGUGAUUUUGUAAAAUAAAAGAAAUUAAGUAUUCAAUCCACAUGUUUUGCACAUAAUUUUCUAUAUUUUACUUCCGUGUAUUUACAGCCAGGGUGCCUACUGUAUUUAUUGCCCAAUGUGCCCACACGUUGCCCACAGUUAGCCCAAACUUUGCCCAGUGUGCCCACAUUAAAUCCACACUUUGUCCACAGUAAGCCCACACUUUGCCCAGUGUACCCACAGUUAGCCCACACUUUGCCCACAGCCCACACUUUGCUCAAUGUGCCCACACUUUGCCCAAUGUGCCCACAGUUAGGCCCACAGUUAUCCCACACUUUGCCCAAUGUGCCCACAGUUAGCCCAAUGUGCCCACAGUAAGCCCACACUUUGCCCAAUGUGCCCACAGAAAGCCCACACUUUGCCAACACUUUGCUCAAUGUGCCCACAGUAAACCCACACUUUGCCCACAGUUAGCCCACACUUUGCCCAAUGUGCCCACAGUAAGCCCACACUUUGCCCACAGUUAGCCCACACUUUACCCAAUGUGCCCACAGUAAACCCACACUUUGCCCACAGUUAGCCCACACUUUGCCCAAUGUGCCCACAGUAAGCCCACACUUUGCCCACACUUUACCCAAUGUGCCCACAGUAAACCCACACUUUGCCCACAGUUAGCCCACACUUUACCCAAUGUGCCCACAGUAAACCCACACUUUGCCCACAGUUAGCCCACACUUUACCCAAUGUGCCCACAGUAAACCCACACUUUGCCCAAUGUGCCCACAGUAAGCCCACACUUUACCCAAUGUGCCCACAGUAAGCCCACACUUUGCCCACAGUUAGCCCACGCUUUGCCCAAUGUGCCCACAGUAAGCCCACACCCAGCCCACACUUUGGGCUGUCCCACUGGGGCCCCAUUGUGGCCCCAUAGUGUGGGGCCCACACGUGCCCCGCAUUUCACGCCGGUAGUGGGGCCCACAGGGGCAGCCCGCUGUGGGCCCCAAUUUUUUGCCCACAGUGGCCCCACCUGGGGCCCAAUGGGACAUGUUUGCUGGGUA